AAGUCGUAACAAGGUUUCCGUAGGUGAACCUGCGGAAGGAUCAUUACUGAAUAUCCUAAUUUAUUGGUUUAAUACCCAAUAUAUGCACUUGUGAAUUUUAACGUCUGGCAGUGCGUUUUUUGUGAAUGUCAAAGUUCGAAAAACCGGAUUGCUGGGUAUACUUUCUUUUAUAUGUAUCAAGUUUCGUUUUUUGUCGUAUAUUAUUCUUAAAAGGAAUUAAAUUAACAACUUUUGACAACGGAUCUCUUGGUUCUC
rnacentral:misc_RNA from 1 species